rnacentral:rRNA from 1 species
AAUAUUGGACAAUGGGCGAAAGCCUGAUCCAGCAAUGCCGCGUGAGUGAUGAAGGCCUUAGGGUUGUAAAGCUCUUUUACCCGGGAUGAUAAUGACAGUACCGGGAGAAUAAGCUCCGGCUAACUCCGUGCCAGCAGCCGCGGUAAUACGGAGGGAGCUAGCGUUGUUCGGAAUUACUGGGCGUAAAGCGCGCGUAGGCGGCUUUUCAAGUCAGGGGUGAAAUCCCGGGGCUCAACCCCGGAACUGCCCUUGAAACUGGAUGGCUAGAAUCCUGGAGAGGCGAGUGGAAUUCCGAGUGUAGAGGUGAAAUUCGUAGAUAUUCGGAAGAACACCAGUGGCGAAGGCGACUCGCUGGACAGGUAUUGACGCUGAGGUGCGAAAGCGUGGGGAGCAAACAGGA